UUCAUUUUCAAGGAGCUAAAAGAGCUAGGGGCAAGCCUAAAAUAACCACAGACGAAAUGGUGAGGAAUGGCAAGCUUCGUCUCGGCCUUGUUCCAAGUAUGACCUUGGAUAGGAGUUUAUUGGAGGUCUAGGAUUCAUGCUCCCGACCCCAUUUAGCAGUGAUUCUCCCGCCUUGUUGGGCUGGCCUCUUUCCUCUUACUCUCACCGAUAUACUCUCAUCUUUUCGAUUCCCCCCUCCCCCCCUCCCCCCGUCCCUAUUCUCUGUUUGGCCCCAUUUUUUCUCUAUUGUGUUUUGUUUGGAUCCAUAUAACUAACCUCAUUAAGUUGGGAUAAGGCUGAGUUUGUUGUUGUUGAUGUGGAACAAUGAGGGAUAAAAUGAAUUGCAUGCACAUGCUACAGCUGGCUUCUGCAGUACCAUUAAUUGAGUUAUAUAGAUUCAUUCUAUAUAGAUAUGCCAUCGAUGGGGUCCAACCUUGAAUAAAUUUUUUGGGGCAAGUGUUCAUCCAAAGUUUGUACUUUAUGCUUUAAACAUUAGAGAACCAUUGGACUUAUCCCUGAAUCUCCCACUUGAGUGGAAUCUCAUUUUCUUUUUUAUAUUAACAAUUUAGUUUCCAACACAAAUGAUUGGAAAAAGCAAGAGAGAACUAUUGUAUGGUAAUUCAGUUUUUUCAUUUAGUGACUUCAGUGUACAGGUUUCUACUUUCUACAAGAAAAAAUAAAAAUAAAAAUAAUAAUAAUAAUAUUAAUAUUAAUAAAAGAGACUCAAUGUAGUUCAAUUAUUGGGCUCUCUCUUUUGGCCUUGUGAAUUUUCGUUACUUUGAGUCUUUGAGUUUAUUAAUUUUUGUUCAUCAAGUGGUAUUUUGACUUUGUUUGCCGGCUUACUUUCUUACUUGUGUAUCCAAUUUGAAGAUUUAUGGAACAGAUUCUCUUUAUAAUGGUGAGAAUGGUUGAUAAAUAGGUUUUGGCAUCCUAUUGAGCAGGUCAGGAAGCUUUUGGAGAGGCAAUCAAUCAAGUGGACAGAAGAAGGGAAUGGAGAGAUAAUAUCGAUCAAAGUGGAUGAAAUUGAUCCAAAAAGUCUUAGUUUUGCGAAAAAAGCGCAGUAAAUGGAGUGCAGGUGAUUGCAAGGUGAUUGAUUCAAGAAUCUAAAGAACUUAUCCUUGGGACAUGUUUGGGAUUUUGAAGUCGACUGGAAGCUUUGGUUGGUAUAUAGCUGGGUAGUCUUCCUCUGCUCCUUCACUGCAACCAUAGAAAACUGAUAGCUCAACACCAAUUUUUUGAUGUUCUCACCAUUUCUUGCCUUUUGGAUCGUCUCAAAAUUGAAAGCGAAUUUUUCUAUCUGUGACAGUUAAAAUCUUCAAUGGAGAUAUUUGAAAUUCGGUUGUUUUCUGAGACUGCACCUUAGUGCGUAACAGUUUUUAAUACAUACACCAAGCGAAAAAGAAAAUCUAAGAAAUACAAUCGUUUUUUGCUUCA